AGGGAUCGUCCAGGAGCCACAGCUAGAGGAGAAACUGGAAGAAAUGAACCUGAACUGCCUGGACAUCCUUGUAAGCAGAGAUGAACAGUCCUCAGUUUUCUGCCUUCCACAUAACUGGCUGUGAGUAAGUGGUCAGUGCUUGGAAUUCCUCAUUUGUUCUCGCUCCAGUUUUGUGCAGAGGCUCUGAACAUCCUCGUUGAAAUUGGUGCUUUGUGGGAUUAAAGCUGGGGAAUGGAUCAGAGUCUCAGUUGCCAACUUUCACUAGGUAAAUAAGCAUCCCGACUUUCAUAAUAAGCCAAAAAUCAAGCUAAUCCCAUUUCAAAACAAUUCCAAAGCAAGCCAAUCCCUUGGAAUCCCAACACUCUGUGCGACUAAAUCUCCCAUUGCAAGUCGUCAGAGACUGUGGUGGGCCCCCUGUACACCCCUCACUCUCUCCCCUCUUUCCCCUGCGUGCCCCCAAUUGCUGGGAGCCGACCAAAAAAAAAAAAAGCAGUCAGAAACUACAGCGAACAACCUACAAGCCAAAAACUAGCCAACAAGCAACUUGCAAGCCAAUUAGGCCAAAAACCUGACCAAUUUCUGCAUAUUUUUCUGCAGGUUUGGCAUUGCUGACCAGAGCCUACUAUGCAGAGUGAGUAUUUCAGGUGUCAUUGCCAGGGGCAUUUUCUACUUUUAGUCCUAAAGAUGUAAUGGAAAUAUGGUUGAGGGCGGAGGCCUACCGUGUCGGGGAGGUGAAAAGAAGAGCAUACAAGACAUUGCCUCCUGAGAGGGUAGGGUAUUUUUUUCCCCUUGUGGUGGGUUUAGUUGCAAAGGAAAAGAAGUCACGCAUCAGUCCACCGUCCUCAUGUGAUGGAAGGGGAGCAAGAGCGCUGAGACCGCGAGGAUUGUUGAUGCCGCGCAAAAGACGUCCAUCUGGGAGUGGAACAGCCGUCACUCGGAAUCGUCCAGGAGCAGCAGCUGGGGGAGAAAUUGGCAGAUGUGGACAUGAGCAGCCUGAACAUCCUUCUAAGCAGACAUGAACUGUCCUCAGCUUUCUGCCUCCUGCUUAACUGGCUGUGAGUAAGCCGUCAGUGCUUGGAAUUCCUCAUCUGUACUUGCCGUAGUUCUCUUGACAGGCUGUGUGCUUCCUCACUGGGUACGGGACUCUGUGAGAUUAGGGCUGAAACUCCUCACCAGAGAAUGUUGCGAAGGCCAAGUCUAAAAUCGGGUUCAGAAAAGAACUAGGCAAAUCCAUGGAAGGUCAGUCCAUCAAUGGCUGUUAGUCAGGACGAGCAGGGAUAGUGUCUCUAGCCCCUUCAGCUUUUCAGGCUGCUUAGUGUCACGGAGUGUGGGGGAGUCCAGCCCUGCACCCCUCUUCCUGGGACCCACAGUGACUCUCGGCCAGCCAGUAAAACAGAAGGUUUAUUGGACAACAGGAACAC
rnacentral:lncRNA from 1 species